rnacentral:rRNA from 1 species
AACGAACGCUGGCGGCAUGCCUAACACAUGCAAGUCGAACGAAGCCUUCGGGCUUAGUGGCGCACGGGUGCGUAACACGUGGGAAUCUGCCCUUUGGUUCGGAAUAACAGGUAGAAAUGACUGCUAAUACCGGAUAAUGACGUAAGUCCAAAGAUUUAUCGCCGAAGGAUGAGCCCGCGUAGGAUUAGGUAGUUGGUGGGGUAAUGGCCCACCAAGCCGACGAUCCUUAGCUGGUCUGAGAGGAUGAUCAGCCACACUGGGACUGAGACACGGCCCAGACUCCUACGGGAGGCAGCAGUGGGGAAUAUUGGACAAUGGGCGGAAAGACCUGAUCCAGCAAUAGCCGCGUGAGUGAUGAAGGCCUUAGGGUUGGUUAAAGACUCUUUUACCUACGGGAUGAUAAUAGUACAGU